AGCGAACGCUGGCGGCAGGCCUAACACAUGCAAGUCGAACGAACCUGUCGGGCUUAGUGGCGGACGGGUGAGUAACACGUGGGAACGAGCCUUUAGGUUCGGAAUAACUCAGGGAAACUUGUGCUAAUACCGAAGGUGCUCUUCGGGGGAAAGAUUAAUCGCCUUUUGAUGGGCCCGCGUCUGAUUAGCUAGUUGGGUGGGGUAAUGGCACGCCACGGCGACGAGCAGUAGCUGGUCUGAGAGGAGGAUCAGCCACAUUGGGACUGAGACACGGCCCACACUCCUACGGGAAGCAGCGGUGGGGAAUCUUGCGCAAUGGGCGAAAGCCUGACGCAGCCAUGCCGGGUGAAUGAUGAAGGUCUUAGGAUUGUAAAAUUCUUUCACCGGGGACGAUAAUGACGGUACCCGGAGAAGAAGCCCCGGCUAACUUCGUG
rnacentral:rRNA from 1 species